GUUGGGAGGUUGGUCUGGUGUCCAGGGGCGAUGUUGGGAGGUGGUCUGGUGUCCCCGGGGCAUGUGGGAGGUGGUCUGGUGUCCCCCAGGGCAAUGUUGGGAGGUAGGUCUGGUGUCCCCCGGGGUGAUGUUGGAGGUAGGUCUGGUGACCCCCAGGGUGAUGUUGGGAGGUUGGUCUGGUGACCCCCAGGGUGAUGUUGGGAGGUUGGUCUGGUGACCCCCAGGGGUUGGGGGGGCGAUGUUGGGAGGUGGUGGUCUGGUGUCCCAGGGUGAUGUUGGGAGGUUU
rnacentral:lncRNA from 1 species